rnacentral:lncRNA from 1 species
GCCACCACAUUUGCCAUCUUUGAUGAUGAAAUUCUUUUAGCUGAUCCAAAUGAUGAAGAAGAGGAAAUAAGUUCCGGUAUACUCACGAUUGUCACUGAUAGCCAACAGCUUUUCUCAGUCCAUAAACCAGGUGGCUGUCCUCUGUCUGACGAAAUUACACAGAAGUGCCUGAAAAAGUCCAAAGGCCGCGCUGUCCAAAUAAAUGAAUUGAUUUCAAGUUGCGAAAAGAAAGCUGAGUAAGAAAACGUCCAGACUGUAAAAUGUUCAAUGUAAAUAUGCAUGUCAUGUGUGUAAAUCAAUUUUUAUGGUAAUUUUGUAAAAAACAUAAAGAACUCAAAAAAAAACUUGUUCUUCUCUUUUUUAACCCUACCCAUGGAACGGAGCUGUCGCAUGGUUUCACUUCCGGAAAAAUAAACUCCUGAUCAUAAUUUGGCGGCAAAAUUAGCUCUCUUCGUUCAUAAAAAAACAUUUUUUCUGUUUUUGUAUUUUUCUUUUUGACAAACUACCAACCUUCAUCACAGCAAAAUGAAAUUCACUCCCAGCGACAGUGUGCCUACAACAGUUGGUUUUCAUGUUGGCAGUAAUGACAGCCACAUCCAAAAUUCUUGACCCACCCCCUGGAUGC